rnacentral:rRNA from 1 species
UACGUAGGGCGCAAGCGUUGUCCGGAAUUAUUGGGCGUAAAGAGCGUGUAGGCGGUUAGGUAGGUCCGUUGUGAAAACUCGAGGCUCAACCUCGAGACGCCGAUGGAAACCAUCUAACUAGAGUCCGGAAGAGGAGAAUGGAAUUCCUGGUGUAGCGGUGAAAUGCGCAGAUAUCAGGAAGAACACCCGUGGCUAAGGCGGUUCUCUAGUACGGUACUGACGCUGAGACGCGAAAGCGUGGGGAGCGAACAGG